GACGGUACCUAACCAGAAAGCCACGGCUAACUACGUGCCAGCAGCCGCGGUAAUACGUAGGUGGCAAGCGUUGUCCGGAAUUAUUGGGCGUAAAGCGCGCGCAGGCGGUUUCUUAAGUCUGAUGUGAAAGCCCCCGGCUCAACCGGGGAGGGUCAUUGGAAACUGGGGAACUUGAGUGCAGAAGAGGAGAGUGGAAUUCCACGUGUAGCGGUGAAAUGCGUAGAGAUGUGGAGGAACACCAGUGGCGAAGGCGACUCUCUGGUCUGUAACUGACGCUGAGGCGCGAAAGCGUGGGGAGCGAACAGGAUUAGAUACCCUGGUAGUCCACGCCGUAAACGAUGAGUGCUAAGUGUUAGAGGGUUUCCGCCCUUUAGUGCUGCAGCAAACGCAUUAAGCACUCCGCCUGGGGAGUACGGUCGCAAGACUGAAACUCAAAGGAAUUGACGGGGGCCCGCACAAGCGGUGGAGCAUGUGGUUUAAUUCGAAGCAACGCGAAGAACCUUACCAGGUCUUGACAUCCUCUGACAACCCUAGAGAUAGGGCUUCCCCUUCGGGGGCAGAGUGACAGGUGGUGCAUGGUUGUCGUCAGCUCGUGUCGUGAGAUGUUGGGUUAAGUCCCGCAACGAGCGCAACCCUUGAUCUUAGUUGCCAGCAUUCAGUUGGGCACUCUAAGGUGACUGCCGGUGACAAACCGGAGGAAGGUGGGGAUGACGUCAAAUCAUCAUGCCCCUUAUGACCUGGGCUACACACGUGCUACAAUGGGCAGAACAAAGGGCAGCGAAGCCGCGAGGCUAAGCCAAUCCCACAAAUCUGUUCUCAGUUCGGAUCGCAGUCUGCAACUCGACUGCGUGAAGCUGGAAUCGCUAGUAAUCGCGGAUCA
rnacentral:rRNA from 1 species